rnacentral:rRNA from 1 species
UACGUAGGGUGCGAGCGUUAAUCGGAAUUACUGGGCGUAAAGAGUGCGUAGGCGGUUCUUUUGUGUCCGCUGUGAAAGCCCCGGGCUUAACCUGGGAAUGGCAGUGGAAACUAGAGAACUUGAAUCUGGCAGAGGGGGGUGGAAUGCCACGGUGUAGCAGUGAAAUGCGUAGAUAUGAUGGCGGAACACCGAUGGCGAAGG